AGCCUGAACGCUGGCGGCGUGGCUAAGACAUGCAAGUCGCACGGGGUCGCAAGACCCAGUGGCGAACGGGAGAGUAAUGAAUCGCUAACGUACCCCGGACUCUGGGAUAGCUAUCCGAAAGGGUAGGUAAUACCAGAUAACAUCACUUCCAGGCAUCUGGAGGUGCUCAAAGGUCCGCCGGUCUGGGAGCGGGCGAGUUUCGAAGUCGAGCUAGUUGGUGGGUAACGCUCACCAAGGCGACGACGCGUAGCCGGACUGAGAGGUUGCCGGCCUCAUUGGGACUGAGACACUGCCCAGACCUCCUACGGGGGGCUGGCAGUAACGAAUCUUCCGCAAUGCACGCAAGUGUGACGGAGCGACGCCGCGUGUGGACGAAGCCCGUUCGGGGUGUAAACCGCGUGUACGAGGGUUACC
rnacentral:rRNA from 1 species